CUGUCAUAUAAAUUUUUCUAGAAUUCAAAAUCAUUUCAGCGGUUUAUGCACUUUCUUAAUAUGUAUGGUUUUGGGGAAACAAAUCCACAUAGUAUCCUGAGGUGGAAACCAAGUCACAAAAAAUAAUGAAGAAUAUUAGAUUUGACAUGAAAAUAUGUAUCAAUUUCUUCAAGUGUUUGGGUUUAGGGUAGAAUUUUCUACCAAAUUUUAACUUCUUGGGGAUGAAGUUUAAUUCAUCUUCAACUUUAGAACCGGAUGGUCUGCACUGUGUCAUUGGUCAACUUGGAGCCCAGCAGGGAUAACUUCUUUAAGUUAUGAGCAUUUAACUUGAUUCAAAGUAAAAAUCUAUUUAUUUCACAGGGAUAAAACAAAGUUUCAACUAUAGCAAAAGAGCACAGACCUCCUUAAGCAGAUGUAUUGAUGGCGAACCUUUUAGAGCUUUCAAUGGUACAAACAGCCCAGUGAGGCACGCACCAUAGGUUCCCUACCCCUGUGUAGACCAUAUCCACCAUGUAUUAUGAAGUCUAAGAAUGGGAACACAAAUUGCAAAAGGAAAGUUGAAAGGGAAUAAUGGUGAACUAUGCAGUGAGGGCGUAAAAAGUAGUAGAAGAAAUGUAAAGUCGAUUUAUUUAGAUAGGUGAUUUGGGAAGAGAAGAAAAAUGGUUUAGGGACAAUAUAAAACUUAUUAAUAGUAGUGUUAACAUGGCUUUAAAGGGAGAAAGUGAGGCUCAAAUACCAAGAGAUAGCAACAAGCAGAAUGUUGUGCAAUUAUAUAUGCUUCAUCAAGCUCAAAAGUUAAAAUGUCAUUGCUUCCUUUGAACUUGCCUGUCAUGGUUUAUCUAGUGAUGGAUUACACAAUAUUUUCUUCAUAACAGCAUAAGAAGUGUGGGGAGCCAUUUGUACUAGUUAUUUGGAAAGAUGAACAAUUCUGCUUACUCUAAAAUGAUGCUUUUAAUACUGAUAUUUUAAUUGUUGAAUUGUAAUUACAAGGUACAAAUGAUAUGUUUGUUUAAGAAAGUCUGAUGUUCAUAGGAAAAUAAGAAAAUGUGUAACAGUGGUAUACAAGAGUCAUGGCUUUACAUAUAUAUUUAAAUGCAAUUCAUGCAUCACUUCUUGUUUAAGGGAAAUAGUUGAAAUGCUUUUAAUGUUUAUAAACUUAUAGUUUAUAAGAUAUUCAUCUGAUCCCUUAAUAAACUGGACUUUGAGAUAAUGUUUCGUUGUAUUUGUCAACAGCUUUUUAUUUUUCAGCUUUGAGUCCAUGUUAGUAUGUAGUAUGGUCCGAAUGUUUUUAUCUCCCUAAAAUUCGUAUGUUGACAUCCUCACUUGUGCGGUGAUGAUAUGAGGAGAUGGUCAGGUUAUGGGAUCAGAGUCCUCAUGAAUAGCACCAGUGCCCUUAUGACAGAGGCAUGAGAGACAUUUGUCACAUCCCUUCUGCCAUGGGAAAUCAAUGUGAAGAGACAGCUAUCGAUGUGGAAGUGGGCUCAAUCUGCCAGGAUCUUGAUGGAUUCCCCAGUUUCCAGAGCAGUGAGAAAUAAAUCUCUGCUGUCUCUAAGCUACUUAAUUUAUGGUAUUUUUGUUAUGGAAGGCACUGGACUAGGAUAUUACUGGAAUUUAAAAUGAAUUCAAUUAGAUAAACAAGCAAUAAUGAAAGUUGAAUAGGAGUGAAAGCAAACUGCCACCAUUUGAUAGAAAGGAAAGAAAACCAAAAUGACAACCAGAUCAUGUAAAUUCUGGUCCUGCGUAACUCUCAUUCACCAUGUGAUCUUUAUUUCUCUGAACCCAAAUUGCUUUCUAUGCAAAUUAAAACAUACACAUUAGAAGAUUCUUGAGGCACACACUGGGUAGUUGUUUAGCUAAUAGAUUUCCUAUUUCUAUUUGAAACAAAGCCUCUUUUGUGUUUAGUGUUGUUCAUGUGACAGAAUUACAGCUUAUUCUGUCAAAUCUGGUAUGAAUGUUUUGUACCAUUUCCAGUGGCCCUAUCAGAAUUCCCACUGGUAAGUGUCCCUUUCUUUCUCUGUCUCCUGAGUAGAGAACACAUAAGGCCCUAGAUGAGGGCAGGGCCACAAGGCGGAAUAAUUCUGGGAACUUGAAUGACUGUGUGGAAGAGAGUUUUACUUGCUUAUCUGUAUUCGGCUAUAGUCUGAGUAAGAAACAAAUUUGUUUGUAUUUUACCAUGGAAGAUUUGACUGUAGAGCAAUUAGUUUUUCUCACUGAAACAUUAGACAGGUUUGCUUCUAGUUUGAAAUUCUGUGAUUUGUCAAAAAUCUUUAAGAGUGAGGUUAGAAAAAAAGGAAGAAGAGCCAAAAUUUGUGUCUUUGCCUCUUUAGUUAUUCUCUCUGUGGUAACUGGAGCCCUUUGAGUAAAGGGAGCAGGAGAACACAGUGGAAGUUAUGGGUCGUAACAUCCCUGGUGAGCUCACGAAAGAUACUGAAGCUUCUACCUUCAUCUCUGACACUUGCUCUGGGGGAAGCUGUUCACCAGUCAUGAGGACACUCAAGCCCCAGUGAGAGGCCACUCACUAGGAGCUGUCAGAAGCAACUUGCUAGUCAGGGUAGCCAUGUGAAUGAGUGGAUUCCACCACCUCAUCAAUCCUCACAUAAACGCAGUCCCCCUCAGUGCUUGAGUAGAACUUCACAAGAUCCCCUCACUGCUUCAGAAUUCAUCCCCACAGAAACGGUGAGACAAAAUGCAUGCUCAUUGUUGUUCAAGCUACAAAGUUUUGAAGUGAUUUACAAAAUAGCAGUAGAUAGCUGAUGUACAAGUCAUGACGGGAGACAUUUUUACUAAAUAUUUCCACAGUAUAGCCUGGAGCUUUAUUGUCUCGUAACCUUUGAUUUUCAUUUUUUCACCUCAUCAUUUGACUGUUAAACAGAGUCACAGAUUUUAUGGUUUUGUUAUAACCACACCUAACCUCAGUAUACCAAUUUUUGUACAUAGAUAGGAUAAUGCUAGAUUGUAUGACAGGAUACAUUUUGAGAGCUUAGUGGAUUAAUACAAUAAACUUUGUUUUUUAAUGUAAAAAAUGGUGUUAAGAAAUGUAAAAAGAUAUCAAAAGUCAAAGCCCUUCUAAAUGUAGGUAACCUUUUACAAUAGUCAAAGUGAACAUCCAGAGAUAGUUAAAAAUUUGAAUAUAAUGUUUAUUUUUUGGUACCGGGGAUCGAACUUGGGACCUUGUACUUUCAAAGUAGGUGGCAGCACCACUGAGCUAAAUCCCCAGCCCUAUAAUGUUUAUUUUUAAGUCAGUUUUUCUAUGUAUAAUUCCAAUAUGUUUGCUCUUUAGCUUUCAUGGUUUUGGGCUGGGGAUUUAGCUCAGUGGUUCUGGCGCCUGCCUCCCAAGCACAAGGUCCCGAGUUCGAUCCCCGGCACACACACAAAAAAACUUUAAUGGUUUAGUUAAAUGACAUCCAGUCCUCAAACAAUAUGUUCAAAUUUCAGUUCUCAUAGUAUACCAACUGUGCAUAAAGUACCAACUUCUCUGUUGCUACCUCUUCAACCCACAAAUCACUACAUAAACAGCAUAUUGACAUUAUGAGCAGUAAACAGCCAUAUCACUUCCUUCAAACUCUGGUGGUGAUUGUUUACUGUGCAUGCUAUUUAAAUCAUGGAAAGUGUGAAGUCAUAGGUUUUAUAAUCUUUCAUCAUCGACAAACUUAUGGUGAAAUUUUAUGAAGACUGAUUCUUGAAAGAGAGGAUUGGCUAGUCAAAUGAAAGACCAGCAAAGAAAGAAAAAGCUGAAUGUAAAUGUGGUUGCAAAAGGA
ensembl:lncRNA